UACGAAGGGGGCUAGCGUUGUUCGGAAUUACUGGGCGUAAAGCGCGCGUAGGCGGACUGUUAAGUCGGGGGUGAAAUCCCGGGGCUCAACCCCGGAACUGCCUUCGAUACUGGCAGUCUGGAGGAUGGAAGAGGUCAGUGGAAUGGCGAGUGUAGAGGUGAAAUUCGUAGAUAUUCGCUGGAACACCAGUGGCGAAGGCGACUGACUGGUCCGUUGCUGACGAUGAGGCGCGAAAGCGUGGGGAGCAAACAGG
rnacentral:rRNA from 1 species